rnacentral:rRNA from 1 species
GAGUUCAAUAGUACGUGAAACCGUUCAGGGGUAAACCUGAGAAGCCCGAAAGGUCGAAAGAGGAGAUUCAGCGUGUCUCGACGGUGGCGCUGGACGGUCGCGAGACGGAAGGCGUACGCGUCGUCCGCUCCUUCCGUUCUUCGAACCGCCGUGGAACGCGUGCACUUCUCUUCCUGUAGGACGUUGCGAUCCGUUGGGUGCCGGUCUAAGGCCCGCGGUGGAGCCCGUCCGGACGGUUCGCCGUUCCGGACGAACCCGCGGUGUUUCCCGAUCGGCUCGCUCGACGGUAUACAUAUGGCGCGGGGCCGCUACACAUACAGUUAGCGUCCGACCCGUGGCAAGCGCGCUCGUCGUGAUGGUGAUCGGACCUGGUGCCGGUCCUGUCCCCGAGUGGCUGUUCGCUGCGGAGUUCUCGGACAGACCUCGUUGAAACGCCGAUCUGCGACGCUAUAGCUUUGGGUACUUUCAGGACCCGUCUUGAAACACGGACCAAGGAGUCUAGCAUGUGCGCGAGUCAUUGGGACAUGACUAAACCUAAAGGCGCAAUGAAAGUGAAAGUCCGCCUUGCGCGGACCGAGGGAGGAUGGGUGGCAGUUACGGCUGCCGCUCCGCACUCCCGGGGCGUCUCGUUCUCAUUGCGAGAAGAGGCGCACCAACAGCGUACACGCUGGGACCCGAAAGAUGGUGAACUAUGCCUGGUCAGGACGAAGUCAGGGGAAACCCUGAUGGAGGUCCGUAGCGAUUCUGACGUGCAAAUCGAUCGUCGGAACUGGGUAUAGGGGCGAAAGACUAAUCGAACCAU